UAGGGAAUCUUCGGCAAUGGGGGGAACCCUGACCGAGCAACGCCGCGUGAGUGAAGAAGGUUUUCGGAUCGUAAAGCUCUGUUGUUAAGGAAGAACGAGUGUGAGAAUGGAAAGUUCAUGCUGUGACGGUACUUAACCAGAAAGGGACGGCUAACUACGCGCCAGCAGCCGCGGUAAUACGUAGGUCCCGAGCGUUGUCCGGAUUUAUUGGGCGUAAAGCGAGCGCAGGCGGUUAGAAAAGUCUGAAGUGAAAGGCAGUGGCUCAACCAUUGUAGGCUUUGGAAACUGUUUAACUUGAGUGCAGAAGGGGAGAGUGGAAUUCCAUGUGUAGCGGUGAAAUGCGUAGAUAGAUGGAGAAACACCAGUGGCGAAGGCGACUCUCUGGUCUGUAACUGACGCUGAGGCUCGAAAGCGUGGGUAGCAAACAGG
rnacentral:rRNA from 1 species